rnacentral:rRNA from 1 species
ACCCGCUGAACUUAAGCAUAUCAAUAAGCGGAGGAAAAGAAACCAACAGGGAUUGCCUCAGUAACGGCGAGUGAAGCGGCAACAGCUCAAAUUUGAAAUCUGGCACCCUCGGGGCCCGAGUUGUAAUUUGCAGAGGGUGCUUUGGCGUUGGCUGUGGUCUAAGUUCCUUGGAACAGGACGUCGCAGAGGGUGAGAAUCCCGUAUGUGGCCGCCAGCCUCCGCCGUGUAAAGCCCCUUCGACGAGUCGAGUUGUUUGGGAAUGCAGCUCUAAUGGGAGGUAAAUUCCUUCUAAAGCUAAAUACUGGCCAGAGACCGAUAGCGCACAAGUAGAGUGAUCGAAAGAUGAAAAGCACUUUGGAAAGAGAGUCAAAAAGCACGUGAAAUUGUUGAAAGGGAAGCGCUUGCAGCCAGACUCGCUCGCGGUUGCUCAACCGGGCACCAGCCCGGUGCACUCUUCCGCGGGCGGGCCAGCAUCAGUUCGGGCGGGUGGAUAAAUACCUGCUAAAUGUACCUCUCCUCGGGGAGGACUUAUAGGGUAGGUGGCAUACACCCAGCCCGGACUGAGGUCCGCGCAUCUGCUAGGAUGCUGGCGUAAUGGCUGU